rnacentral:rRNA from 1 species
CCUACGGGGGGCAGCAGUCGAGAAUUAUUCACAAUGGGGGAAACCCUGAUGGGGCGACGCCGCGUGGGGGAAUGAAGGUCUUCGGAUUGUAAACCCCUGUCAUGUGGGAGCAAAUUAAAAAGAUAGUACCACAAGAGGAAGAGACGGCUAACUCUGUGCCAGCAGCCGCGGUAAUACAGAGGUCCCAAGCGUUGUUCGGAAUCACUGGGCGUAAAGCGUGCGUAGGCUGUUUCGUAAGUCGUGUGUGAAAGGCGCGGGCUCAACCCGCGGACGGCACAUGAUACUGCGAGACUAGAGUAAUGGAGGGGGAACCGGAAUUCUCGGUGUAGCGGUGAAAUGCGUAGAUAUCGAGAGGAACACUCGUGGCGAAGGCGGGUUCCUGGACAUUAACUGACGCUGAGGCACGAAGGCCAGGGGAGCGAAAAGGAUUAGAUACCCGUGUAGUC